rnacentral:rRNA from 1 species
UGCAAGUCGAGCGAGUCUGCCUUGAAGAUCGGAGUGCUUGCACUCUGUGAAACAAGAUACAGGCUAGCGGCGGACGGGUGAGUAACACGUGGGUAACCUGCCCAAGAGAUCGGGAUAACACCUGGAAACAGAUGCUAAUACCGGAUAACGACAGAUGAUGCCUAUCAACUGUUUAAAAGAUGGUUCUGCUAUCACUCUUGGAUGGACCUGCGGUGCAUUAGCUAGUUGGUAGGGUAACGGCCUACCAAGGCGAUGAUGCAUAGCCGAGUUGAGAGACUGAUCGGCCACAUUGGGACUGAGACACGGCCCAAACUCCUACGGGAGGCAGCAGUAGGGAAUCUUCCACAAUGGACGCAAGUCUGAUGGAGCAACGCCGCGUGAGUGAAGAAGGGUUUCGGCUCGUAAAGCUCUGUUGUUGGUGAAGAAGGACAGGGGUAGUAACUGACCUUUGUUUGACGGUAAUCAAUUAGAAAGUCACGGCUAACUAC